GAUGAACGCUGGCGGCGUGCCUAAUACAUGCAAGUCGAGCGAACGGACGAGAAGCUUGCUUCUCUGAUGUUAGCGGCGGAAGUGUGAGUAACACGUGGGUAACCUCCCUAUAAGACUGUGAUAACUUCGGGAAACCGGAGCUAAUACCGGCUGAUAUUUUGAACCGCAUGGUUCAAAAGUGAAAGACGGUCUUGCUGUCACUUAUAGAUGGGUCCGCGCUGCAUUAGCUAGUUGGUCAGGUAACGGCUUACCAAGUCAACGAUGCAUAGCCGACCUGAGAGGGUGAUCGGCCACACUGGAACUGAGACACGGUCCAGACUCCUACGGGAGGCAGCAGUAGGGAAUCUUGCGCAAUGGGCGAAAGCCUGACGGAGCAACGCCGCGUGAGUGAUGAAGGUCUUCGGGUCGUAAACCUCUGUUAUUAGGGAAGAACAUAUGUGUAAGUAACUGUGCACAUCAUGACGGUACCUUAUCAGAAAGCCACGGCUAACUACGUG
rnacentral:rRNA from 1 species